AGAUUGAACGCUGGCGGCAGGCCUAACACAUGCAAGUCGAGCGGCAGCACGGGUACUUGUACCUGGUGGCGAGCGGCGGACGGGUGAGUAAUGCCUAGGAAUCUGCCUGGUAGUGGGGGAUAACGCUCGGAAACGGACGCUAAUACCGCAUACGUCCUACGGGAGAAAGCAGGGGACCUUCGGGCCUUGCGCUAUCAGAUGAGCCUAGGUCGGAUUAGCUAGUUGGUGAGGUAAUGGCUCACCAAGGCGACGAUCCGUAACUGGUCUGAGGAGGAUGAUCAGUCACACGUAGGAACUGAGACCGACGGUCCAAGACCUUACCGGACGGGGAGCAGGCGAGGGUAGGGGUAAAUUAGGUUAGGAACGUAAGGU
rnacentral:rRNA from 1 species